rnacentral:rRNA from 1 species
AUACGUAGGUGGCAAGCGUUAUCCGGAUUUACUGGGUGUAAAGGGCGUGUAGGCGGGUCUUGCAAGUCAGAUGUGAAAUCUCCGGGCUUAACUCGGAAGUGUCAUCUGAAACUACGGAUCUUGAGUACUGGAGAGGAUAGUGGAAUUCCUAGUGUAGCGGUAAAAUGCGUAGAUAUUAGGAGGAACACCAGUGGCGAAGGCGGCUAUCUGGACAGUAACUGACGCUGAGGCGCGAAAGCGUGGGGAGC